rnacentral:rRNA from 1 species
GACGAACGCUGGCGGCGUGCUUAACACAUGCAAGUCGAACGAAAAUACCAAGCUUGCUUGGUUGAUUAGUGGCGAACGGGUGAGUAACACGUGAGUAACCUGCCCCUUACUUUCCUGGAUAACUGCUCGAAAGGGUAGCUAAUACGGGAUAUUCUGACCAGCCUGCAUGGGUUGGUUUGGAAAGGUUGUUUUUCUGGUAAGGGAUGGGCUCGCGGCCUAUCAGCUUGUUGGUGGGGUGAUGGCCUACCAAGGCUUUGACGGGUAGCCGGCCUGAGAGGGUGGACGGUCACACUGGGACUGAGAUACGGCCCAGACUCCUACGGGAGGCAGCAGUGGGGAAUAUUGCACAAUGGGCGCAAGCCUGAUGCAGCGACGCCGCGUGAGGGAGGAAGGCAUUCGGGUUGUAAACCUCUUUCGUCAGGGAACAAGGCACUGCUUUUUUGGUGGUGUUGAGGGUACCUGGAUAAGAAGCGCCGGCUAACUACGUG